rnacentral:rRNA from 1 species
UAUGUGAUCGUCUCUCGCAUAUCAAUAAGCGGAGGAAAAGAAACUAACAAGGAUUCCCCUAGUAACGGCGAGUGAAGCGGGAAGAGCUCAAAUUUGAAAUCUUAAAGGGUUUCCCUUUACGAAUUGUAGUUUAAAGAAGUGUUUUCUGUUGAGGUUUUGGUAAAAGUUCUUUGGAAUAGGACAUCAUAGAGGGUGAGAAUCCCGUAUUUGACCUUCACUUUCAACUUUGUGAUACACUUUCAAAGAGUCGGAUUGUUUGGGAAUGCAGUCCAAAAUGGGUGGUAAAUUUCAUCUAAAGCUAAAUAUUGGCGAGAGACCGAUAGCGAACAAGUACCGUGAGGGAAAGAUGAAAAGAACUUUGAAAAGAGAGUUAAACAGUACGUGAAAUUGUCAAAAGGGAAGCGUUUGACACCAGUGUUGUUUUUCUGAAAAUCAAUUAAAGAACUGUUUAUGCUAAGCUGUUUAGACUUUAUCAGCUAUCUGUUUAGUUUUGAGCUUUUCUUUAAUGCACUUUUCAGUUAACAAGUCAACAUCAAUUUCUUUUGCUGUAAAAAAGCUUGAGGAAGGUGGCUUGAGAUUCGUCUUAAGUGUUUAUAGCCUCUUGCCUAUGCAGUCGGAGAGAUUGAGGUCUGCAGCGUAGAUCCUUCGGGGCUAAAUGCAUUUGUGCUAAGUUAUAGCAUUUUAUAGACAACUUGUUGACUAUGAUUUGUCUUGUAGCUUACUCGCUUAUGUUAUUUUACCUACGCUUAGGAUGUUGAGCGCAUGUCUCUCUCU